UACGUAGGUGGCAAGCGUUAUCCGGAAUUAUUGGGCGUAAAGCGCGCGCAGGCGGUUUCUUAAGUCUGAUGUGAAAGCCCACGGCUCAACCGUGGAGGGUCAUUGGAAACUGGGAAACUUGAGUGCAGAAGAGGAAAGUAGAAUUCCACGUGUAGCGGUGAAAUGCGUAGAGAUGUGGAGGAACACCAGUGGCGAAGGCGACUUUCUGGUCUGUAACUGACGCUGAGGCGCGAAAGCGUGGGGAGCAAACAGG
rnacentral:rRNA from 1 species